rnacentral:piRNA from 2 species
UGAGAGUUGAGGAAAAGCUGAGAUGCCCU